rnacentral:tRNA from 1 species
GCGCUCGUAGCUCAACUGGAUAGAGUGUCUGACUACGAAUCAGAAGGUUGGGGGUUCGAGCCCCUCCGGGCGCACCA